rnacentral:rRNA from 1 species
UACAGAGGUCCCAAGCGUUGUUCGGAUUCACUGGGCGUAAAGGGUGCGUAGGUGGCCGGGUAAGUCUGACGUGAAAUCUCCAAGCUCAACUUGGAAACUGCGUCGGAUACUAUCCGGCUAGAGGAUCGGAGGGGAGACUGGAAUACUUGGUGUAGCAGUGAAAUGCGUAGAUAUCAAGUGGAACACCAGUGGCGAAGGCGAGUCUCUGGACGAUUCCUGACGCUGAGGCACGAAAGCGUGGGGAGCAAACAGG